AUGCGUACCCCCUCUAUCACAAAUUAUGACGUCCACUCUCCUUAAAGAGGAGAUGGUAAGCCAGCACACCCACAAAGUGCAAUGUGGAUCACUAGCCUAGGCCAUGGCUCUUCUUGA
rnacentral:rRNA from 1 species